rnacentral:rRNA from 1 species
CGUCAUUACAGAGAGAUAUUAGCCCUCUGCGUUUCUUCCCAACUGAAAGUGCUUUACAACCCUAGGGCCUUCUUCACACACGCGGCAUUGCUGCAUCAGGGUUUCCCCCAUUGUGCAAUAUUCCCCA